rnacentral:rRNA from 1 species
UACGUAGGUGGCAAGCGUUGUCCGGAUUUAUUGGGUUUAAAGGGUGCGUAGGCGGUCCCAUAAGUCAGUGCUGAAAUAUCCCGGCUUAACCGGGAGGGUGGCAUUGAUACUGUGGGACUUGAGUAAAGUUGAGGUUGGCGGAAUUGACGGUGUAGCGGUGAAAUGCGCAGAUAUCAGGAGGAACACCGGUGGCGAAGGCGGUUCUCUGGGCCUUACCUGACGCUGAGGAGCGAAAGCGUGGGGAGCAAACAGG